rnacentral:rRNA from 1 species
UACGAAGGGGGCUAGCGUUGCUCGGAAUCACUGGGCGUAAAGCGCACGUAGGCGGAUUGUUAAGUCAGGGGUGAAAUCCUGGAGCUCAACUCCAGAACUGCCUUUGAUACUGAAGAUCUUGAGUUCGGGAGAGGUGAGUGGAACUGCGAGUGUAGAGGUGAAAUUCGUAGAUAUUCGCAAGAAACACCAGUGGCGAAGGCGGCUCACUGGCCCGAUACUGACGCUGGAGGCAC